UAUAAUUUCUAACUCUUCGUCUUAUUUGAAUUUUUUAUGAUUAAUAUUUUUAUUGUUAUUACAUGAUAAAACAUGAAUAAUACUUUACGCGUGACUAAUUUUUUUAAUUUUUAACAAAAUUUUUAAAUAAAACAGAUGGUUAAACGUUCGAAGUAGAAAAUCCAG
rnacentral:pre_miRNA from 1 species